GGGGAUGUACCAGCUUUGACAAGUAAAAUUUUAAUUCAAGUUGCAAUACAAUUUGGAAAUAUUGUAAAAAUUCCAAAGAAUAUAAAUGCAAAAAAAUUCAAACAAGCAGUGGCAAGUCCAUUUGCUCCAGCAUACGCGUACGCAUAGUUUUAGGUUGAGAUAAAUUCUCCCAGCUAUGUUGGCAGACGGCUUUCUGAUUUCUUGAUACGAAAGUUUGUCUGAUAAUAUUUUCAAGAUAAACUGUAUUUACUCUCUGAAAUGCAGUUGAAUUUACAAGAGAUAGUUUUUAAAAAAUUUUGUUUAUUUUUUAUUUUUAAAAAUGAUAUUUUAAAAUAAACUAUUAUUGUAGAUACUUUUAUUAGGUUUAUUUGAACGAGGGUGCAAAUCCCUCCAUCUCCACAA
rnacentral:tmRNA from 1 species